CUACAACAAAGGAUUUCUGUGCCAUCUGAUAAAAGAAGAAGGCAACCUGCAUUUGUGUGCAAGCCUGUGUUUGCCUGCGGCCCUCAUGCCCUCUGUCCCCACACCUAGAUGGAUGCUUCCUGAAAAGGUGUUCUCAGUAGCCACUGUGCUCCUCCGGUGGAACCCCUACCCCCCCACUGUCUGCACAAUCCAUCUGAGAAACCACACACGUGAGAAGGGGCACAGGAUCAGCCAGGCAGAUAAGGAGCCAUGGCUUGCUGCAGCGGGGGACCCUCCUCACUUUGAGGGUAGCGGCCUUGUUGAUAGUCGCAUCUUCCUCAGCACCUGCGUGUACGGUCCUGUCCGCUGGAAUGGCUCCUGCACACUGGAAUGGGAGAGGGUGAAGUCUUUUCUGGGAGUUGCUUUCCAGGGAGGUCAAAGAACCCAGCUGUGCUCUAACUUUUUUUUUUCAUUGAUUUAGAAAUAUUUCAGGGAAAUGGGGUCCAAACAGUGGCACAGAGUAAACAUUAAUAAUAAGGGACCUACGAUGUGAGUGCUGUAAACACGCCCAGGCCCCUGCAUGCCUUGGACUUACGGGCUUUUCUGCCUGCCCAUCAUGGUAACUCCACUGAGCCUGAUGGGCAUGACCUAAAUAGGGCACCUAUUUAGCUUUCCUCAUAGGAAUGGGUGCUUGGCUCCAUACACACAUCUGUAAUAAUCAGGCGCCCUGAUCACAAUACAGCGGUGCAGCAGGAAUACGCACGCUCCGUUCAGCGAGCACCCUGAAAACCAUUACACUGCUAAUUAUAAACACAGGCUGCCAAAGCCCAGCUUCCUUCUAUUCUUCUUACAUCCUGCAGAUGGCCAAACUUAGGAACUCGUCAUCUGAUUCCCCUGGAAUGGCAGCUGGUGGCUUGAUCUGUCAGUGUUUGGGGUUGGGGCUGGAUAGAAUCUGUGAUAGACCAGGUCUCUAAUCACAGUGUGGUUUCCAUCUCUAAAUGGUCAAGGUAACAUGGCACAUCCCUCUGGUCUUGGCAAGAAAAAGAGCAGACCUCUUGGAACCCACAAUGGAGCACUGCAGGUAGAUAAAUAUGUAACCCUUUUUGUUCCUUGGGUGUCCCCAGCUCUACUAUAGUUUUGUUCCAAAGGACCUUCCUGCCUUUGAAUGUGACUCCCCAGAGUUGGGAGAGUUGCUUAGAAAUGGUAUGGGCUGAUCAUUUCAUCAACCCAGAGGCAUAAGCAUGUGAACUUGGUCUAAACAGUCUUUUUUAAAACCAGAGCUUGGGAUCAACUUUCAAGAACUAUGGUGAUUGGCUCCCUCCAGUCACCACAGUUCUUGAAAGUUGCAUGGUGACAGCUCAGCCUCCUCCCUCCUGACUGGGUGCAGAGCAUUGAAACUGUGUCCUUCCAAGCCCUGGGGAACAGAGCUGAUUAAUGGGUCUGGAUAUUUUUUUUCAUUAUUAUUUUUAAUAUGGCUGGAAAUCUGGCAGGCUGCAGGUAUCCAGCAGAGAAUCAAAAUGAGAAAAUGUUUAAUACUGUUGGUUCAGGUUUCUAAGAGCAGAGGAAGGAUUAAGGACUUGGGGGUCAAAGAAGUGCUUUAGAUGCUGCAUUGCCCUUCCUAGCUGUGUGACCUCAGGCGGGUUCCUUAAUCCCUCUGGGCUCCAAUAUUUUCUUCCUGUAAAAUGAAGCUUGUUUUGGGAGCUUUUCCAUUAUUAUUAUUAUUCUUUUUUUUUGAGACUGUCACCCAGGCUGGAGUGCAGUGGCGCAAUCCCGGCUCACUGCAACCUCCGCCUCCUGGGUUCAAGCAAUUCUCUGCCUCAGCCUCCCGAGUAGCUGGGAUUACAGGUGCCCACCAUCAUGCCCGGCUAAUUUUUUGUAUUUUUACUAGAGACAUGGUUUCACUAUCUUGGCCAGGCUGAUCUUGAACUCCUGACCUCAUGAUCUACCCGCCUCAGCCUCCCAAAGUGCUGGGAUUACAGGCGUGAGCCACCGCGCCUGGCCGGGCUUUUCCAUAGUUAAUACUAGCUAUUAAAUCAUUUGACCCCUAUUGGCUGUCCACUCAUGCUAGGGGAUGUUCCAGUUGUUGAAGACAAAACAUCAGGUCUCCGCCCUCAGCGGGAGAGCAGGGCACAGACGUGUCCACCAGCAAACAGCAUUGUCUUACAGUGCACCAGACACAGCUGCACCUCCCAGGUCCCCUCAGGAAAGAGCUUGCAGAGAGCCAUCUUACCAGGGUCUCACCCUUCCUGGGCAACUUGCAGUCAGUUACCCAGCAAGGAGAGGGUAUAAAGGCCCAGCCAUUUGGCCAUUUUGGCCCCACCCAGGAUAACACUGAGGGUGAUUUGUGCUCCAGACCCCCCCUGCUGGCUUGGUAGGGCCUGAGUUGCAUUUGGACUUUUUCUACCCAAUCCUGCUUUGUCCUCUCCUUUUGAAAACAGGUGCCCAUCUGCAAAGCCCAUCCUGUCCUCCAAACUCCAAAGUAGCUUCUACUUUCAGAGAACCCGACCGCCAUCUAGCAGAGGGGCAAGCAAGGACAACGAGGUGUCUGAGUGGAGGCAGGCACUCAGGGAGCCGCUCGGAGCCCGUUCUAGUGACUUGGUUAUUUCUGCCAGUACUGCUAUUGCCUGGGAGUGCCUGCAGACCUGAGUUUGGUUUCCUCCACAGGAAACAAGAGCUUGUGCACGGGUAGUUUAUUUGUUAGGUAACUCCAGGAAGCAAGAGAAAGAAGUCGGGAGAGAAAGGGGGGAUGGCGAAAUUCACAUGGUGGCCAGGUGUUGCUGAACUGCCUGACCCGUGGCUAACUGGGGCUCAGUCUCCACUGGGGUCCCGCUAAGGAAAUUAUAGAUAUGCCUCUGGGUUUCCUUCUAUUUCUUUCUAGUCACUGACUCCCAACCCUUUCUGAUGGAUGGCUCCCUCUCCUUCUCUCUCCCCACUUCAGGGUUGUCUUGUUUGGCUGAGUGAGCUCUGGGGGCGUUGAAGAAAGACCUGGGGCUAAAAGGAGUAAAAGAUGCAGAGGGCACUUGGAGUGGCACCACUGGCAGCAUGGCAAGUCGUGCCAUCCACAGCAGCAGCUGGAACAGGGGCCGAGGGGCAUGGGAUGGGGCCUGCUGGUCGCCACAGCCUGUUAGCUCCUGUACCUUUCUUGAGUUGCUGCCAGGAACUACCCUGUUGGUGGCUACCCUGAUCUUCCCAUGGGGAUACAAAUGACACAUGGAGGCUAAGCUUGGCGGCAGACAGCCUGCUGGGAUAAGCCAGAGGGGGCAGCAGCUUAGAGUCUGUGCAGCUCAGGCUGUCGGUGCACAGUUCCAGGUGGGCAGUGCUGUGGUUCUGUGUGCAGGCUCAGGAGCCAAACGGUGUUGGUUCAAAUCCUGGCUCUGCCACUUAUUAACUAGGAGCCUUUAGGUGAGCUCCUUACCGUGUCUCACCUGUAGGAUAGGGAAAAUGAAAGCACUUAGGAAAAUGAAACCACUGUAGAGGGUGGUUGUGAGGCUUGCAUGAAAUGAAGCCUGGGAAGCACUUUGUCCAGGGCUGGCGGGGAGAUGGAGGCAAUACUUGGUAGAGGUUAGAAUCAUUAGAUCUUUUACUCAGUAUCCUUCCUGCAAAGGAAGUCAACAUAGAGCUCUUUCCCACACACUGCAACUGCGUAGUAUCACUCUAUUGUCCGCUUUAAUAGCACCCACAAUUGCAAGCAUGUAAAUACAGCCACAGUUGUGAGAAGUAGCCCUGGAAUCAUUUCUUUCUCCUCUACUAUGUAACGGGCAAAAGAGCCAUUGUUGAAAUAAAGAAUAGCCUGUGCCCCUUCCCCACCUCAAGCUUCUGGGGCAAGGUCCAUUGCCAACUUAGAGUCUCUCUGAGGUCACUUACAUCUAUAAUUGCUUCAGAAUAAUUGUUUUAAUGCUUGCACCGAAAUCACCCUUUAUGCUCCAUGAAACAAACAGCUUUAAAGUCAUCUUUCAGCAGCUUUAUUUUGUGUUUACUAAAUUACUUAUUCCACAAUAAACCUGAUGAGAGGCAUGCUUCAUUAUUCUUAAGUUCUACUCUAGCAAAAGUAUAAUAAAUGUGGAUUCAAG
rnacentral:lncRNA from 10 species